rnacentral:lncRNA from 1 species
UUUCUUCUCACUACAAAGUGGGUACGCCAUUUCUAUGAUUAAAUACAGGAUAGAAAUAAGAAAAGGAAUAAUGCUUCAUAUAUCCGUUAGAUGACACUAUAGGGGCAUUUGAAUUUUUCCCUUCUCUUCUAUAAUAGGACAUCGGAUUCUUUUAUUUUAACUUGUAAGGAAUGUGACUCGCAUCAUGAUUUGUGAGUAUGUGGGUUUGCUUUUAUAAUGUUUUUGUAAAAGAAAAAGAGGAUCAGAUGUACAUUGUAGGAUCCAAAUGGAGCAAAAAAUAAAUAAUAGAUCAGGCUACGCCUUACUAAUGAUGUGACUACCAACGGAUAUGCAAAAUCACCGUAACUAAAUUGCAAAAAAAGAAAGAAAAAAAAAACUGGAGAAAUAUGAUGUUUUUUGCAGAUAUAUAUAUAUAUAUUCAUAAUGUAUACACAUGUAUGUAUUUAAGGCUUAAAUCCAUGGCGUAAGGAGUAUAUGUGUAGUAAUGCUUAAUCUCCCUGUUUUCUCUCAGCAUGAAUUGAGGAAUGUCCAUAAUUAUUAUACACAACUUUUGCACAGGCUUCAGGGACAAUACCUGAAAUAAAAA